rnacentral:rRNA from 1 species
GACGAACGCUGGCGGCGUGCCUAAUACAUGCCAGUAGAACGCUGAAGAGAGGAGCUUGCUCUUCUUGGAUGAGUUGCGAACGGGUGAGUAACGCGUAGGUAACCUGCCUGGUAGCGGGGGAUAACUAUUGGAAACGAUAGCUAAUACCGCAUAAUAGUAGAUGUUGCAUGACAUUUGCUUAAAAGGUGCAAUUGCAUCACUACCAGAUGGACCUGCGUUGUAUUAGCUAGUUGGUGAGGUAACGGCUCACCAAGGCAACGAUACAUAGCCGACCUGAGAGGGUGAUCGGCCACACUGGGACUGAGACACGGCCCAGACUCCUACGGGAGGCAGCAGUAGGGAAUCUUCGGCAAUGGACGGAAGUCUGACCGAGCAACGCCGCGUGAGUGAAGAAGGGUUUCGGAUCGUAAAGCUCUGUUGUAAGAGAAGAACGAGUGUGAGAGUGGAAAGUUCACACUGUGACGGUAUCUUACCAGAAAGGGACGGCUAACUACGUG